ACACAAAUCAAGAUAAUUAACAAUAUUUAGAGUAAUUUUAUAAUUUUUAGAACGUUUAAACACAAAUUUAAGGUAAAACUAUUGCCUCUUAUACAAACCCUUGGCCAUGAUGUAAACAACAAGAGCUGCUGUGAGGUGUGUGAGGAGGAGAUGUUGCAACAAAACUUUGGGAAAAUGAACUGCUCCAUGACAGAUGAAAAUGAUAACAGGAGCAUGGAACAAGAACUCCCACCAGCCUCACCAUUGCCACCACCACAGCACCACCACCUAUGACAAGAUGAGUUAACAACUAAACCUUGUGAAAUUAACAACUGGAGCAUGGAAACACUGCUGUUACAGUCCAGGGCAGCAGAGCCAUCCAGGGCAGCAAGCACAGAGCAGAGCCAUGCAGAGCAGAGCCAUCCAGGGCAG